AUGUUCAAAGCCUCAAUUACACAAUUCCAAAAGAUCACAUUACAAUUCAAGAAUCAAGGGAGUGAUAGAAUUUUACCUCUUGAAGAGAAGAGGAGAUUGAAGAAGCUUAAAGAAUCACAAUCGGAGAGCAAAACAGACAGAGGAGGAGUACGACUUUUGCAAUCAGAGAGAGUGGUGCCUGCGGCCUUUGUGCGGUGGUUGUUAGAGGUGGCUGGAGGAGCUUCCGGCGAGUCGAGGGAGGUGCACGGUGAAAAAUUCGGUGGCUGA